rnacentral:rRNA from 1 species
AGAGUUUGAUCCUGGCUCAGAAUCAACGCUGGCGGCGUGCCUAACACAUGCAAGUCGAACGAGAAAGUGGAGCAAUCCAUGAGUAAAGUGGCGACCGGGUGAGUAACACGUGACUAACCUACCCUAGAGUGGGGAAUAACUUCGGGAAACCGAGGCUAAUACCGCAUAACAUCACGAGGUGUAAAUUCCUUGUGAUCAAAGGAGCAAUUCGCUCAAGGAGGGGGUCGCGGCUGAUUAGCUAGUUGGUGAGGUAACGGCCCACCAAGGCUAAGAUCAGUAUCCGGCCUGAGAGGGCGCACGGACACACUGGAACUGAAACACGGUCCAGACUCCUACGGGAGGCAGCAGUGGGGAAUUUUGCGCAAUGGGGGAAACCCUGACGCAGCAACGCCGCGUGGAGGAUGAAGUCCCUUGGGAUGUAAACUCCUUUCGAUCGGGACGAUUAUGACCGGUACCGGAAGAAGAAGCACCGGCUACUCUGUGCCAGCAGCCGCGGUA